GAUGAACGCUGGCGGCGUGCCUAAUACAUGCAAGUCGAGCGAACGGACGAGAAGCUUGCUUCUCUGAUGUUAGCGGCGGACGGGUGAGUAACACGUGGAUAACCUACCUAUAAGACUGGGAUAACUUCGGGAAACCGGAGCUAAUACCGGAUAAUAUUUUGAACCGCAUGGUUCAAAAGUGAAAGACGGUCUUGCUGUCACUUAUAGAUGGAUCCGCGCUGCAUUAGCUAGUUGGUAAGGUAACGGCUUACCAAGGCAACGAUGCAUAGCCGACCUGAGAGGGUGAUCGGCCACACUGGAACUGAGACACGGUCCAGACUCCUACGGGAGGCAGCAGUAGGGAAUCUCCCGCAAUGGGCGAAAGCCUGACGGAGCAACGCCGCGUGAGUGAUGAAGGUCUUCGGAUCGUAAAACUCUGUUAUUAGGGAAGAACAUAUGUGUAAGUAACUGUGCACAUCUUGACGGUACCUAACCAGAAAGCCACGGCUAACUACGUG
rnacentral:rRNA from 1 species